GGAUGAACGCUGGCUACAGGCUUAACACAUGCAAGUCGAGGGGAAACGACGGGGAAGCUUGCUUCCCCGGGCGUCGACCGGCGCACGGGUGAGUAACGCGUAUCCAACCUGCCUCUGACUGAGGGAUAACCCGUCGAAAGUCGGCCUAAUACCUCAUGGCAUCGUCUGCGGGCAUCCAACGACGAUUAAAGAUUUCAUCGGUCAGGGAUGGGGAUGCGUCUGAUUAGCUAGUUGGCGGGGUAACGGCCCACCAAGGCGACGAUCAGUAGGGGUUCUGAGAGGAAGGUCCCCCACAUUGGAACUGAGACACGGUCCAAACUCCUACGGGAGGCAGCAGUGAGGAAUAUUGGUCAAUGGGCGAGAGCCUGAACCAGCCAAGUAGCGUGCAGGAUGACGGCCCUAUGGGUUGUAAACUGCUUUUAUGCGGGGAUAAAGUGAGGGACGUGUCCUUCAUUGCAGGUACCGCAUGAAUAAGGACCGGCUAAUUCCGUG
rnacentral:rRNA from 1 species